CGCGUAGGCGGCGAAGUGUGUCCGGUGUGAAAUCCCCCGGCUUAACCGGGGAAGUGCGUCGGAAACUACUCCGCUUGAGGGUAGCAGAGGAGAGUGGAACUGCUGGUGUAGCGGUGAAAUGCGUAGAUAUCAGCAGGAACGCCGGAGGCGAAAGCGACUCUCUGGCUACUCCUGACGCUGAGGCGCGAAAGCCAGGGGAGCGAACG
rnacentral:rRNA from 1 species